rnacentral:rRNA from 1 species
UACGUAGGGGCCUAGCGUUGUCCGGAUUUAUUGGGCGUAAAGAGCGUGUAGGCGGCCAGGUAGGUCUGCUGUGAAAACUCGAGGCUCAACCUCGAGACGUCGGCGGAAACCAUCUGGCUAGAGUCCGGAAGAGGAGAGUGGAAUUCCUGGUGUAGCGGUGAAAUGCGCAGAUAUCAGGAAGAACACCCGUGGCGAAGGCGGCUCUCUGGGCAUUAACUGACGCUGAGGAGCGAAAAGCAUGGGGAGCGAACAGG